rnacentral:lncRNA from 1 species
GGUAAAUCAGUGAUAUGGAUGAUCGUAGCCCUGUUUGAGCCUACCCUGAUGUGUAUGCUUGUGUCUUGGUUUUUAUUGUUUUAUUUUUAUUUUUAUGUUUUUUCAGACAGGGUCUCGCUCUGUCACCCAGGGCCUAAAGUGCAGUGGCAUGAUCAGCUUGGACCUCCUGGGCUCAAGCGAUCAUCCUAUCUCAGGUGGGAACACAGGUGCAUGCCACCACAACUGGCUUUUUUUUUUUUUUUUUUUUUUUUUUAACGUUUGUAGAGAGGAGGUUUAACUAUGCUGCCCAGGCUGGUCUUGAAGUCUUGGGCUAAAGUGAUCCUCCUAGUUUCCAAUAUAGUAUCAGUACACUCUUGCAUAAUAAUUUUAUUAGAAAGACAUUCUCAACACACCCUGGCCAACAUUUUGACCUUUGCUAAUUUUAUGAGAAAAUGGUGGUGGUGGGUCCCUGCAGUCCCAGCUACUCAGGAGGCUGAGGCAGGAGAAUUGCUUAAACCCGGGAGGCGGAGGUUGCAGUGAGCCGAGACAUCACCACUGCACUCCAGCCUGGGUGACAGAGCAAGGCUCUGCCUCAAAAAAAAAAAAAAAAAAAAAAAGUUCUGCUCCCGUUUAAAUAAAGCAAAGUGAGUUACUGCUUUCCAACAUACUUACUGUUAAAGAGCUACUGCAAGAAGGAAAGUACAAUAAAGGGAAUAUACAGAGUCCAUCAGUUAGAGAUAUUGAUAGUUAGUUAUGCUGCAGUAUACCUGUAUGUGUUGUUACACAUGUCUACAUGGUGGACCAUAUAAUGAGUCAGUUCUACUAUCAUAUAAUUGACUUGAACAGCUGUGAAGCUAUUCUUCAUUCAGCCUCAUUAUAUCUCUGUGAACCAUACCUCUGCUUCUGGGGCAUGAAAGGGGUUGAGGUCAGCUAUUCAAGAUGGUGUGUUCUACCUCCUCAUUUCUUCAUUAAGUGAUAUAAAGUUAAAAUAUUAUUGUAGAACUUAAAAUCUCAUGCUCGAUAAGAAAACGUUUGUAUAUUCAUUUUUAUUUUCCAGUUUGCAAGGAAAAUAGAAAACAGCUAUUUAUCUAAGUGCAUUACAUUAUUUUCAACUGUUAUUGUCUUGGUUUGGUUUUCAGCUUCAGUGUACAAUUUUCGUAAAGUCAGCAACGAAAUUUAAUAAUACAAUGUACUUAAUUUGGGGGGAAAAACAGUGCUUUCCUAAAUACUAUUUUAUUAUUAUACCAUUGGAACAGUGCCUGCCAGAUAGUUUUUUGUGACCUCUAUACAUACAGAAUAUAUCACUCAUGAGAAUAACUGCACAUUUUACA